GCGGUGAUGGCCGAGAGGUUAAGGCAUUGGAUUUGAAAUCCAAUGGGGGCUCCCUGCGCAGUUUCGAGUCCUGCUCAUAGCG